rnacentral:rRNA from 1 species
UACGUAGGGUGCGAGCGUUAAUCGGAAUUACUGGGCGUAAAGCGUGCGCAGGCGGCUUUGCAAGUCAGAUGUGAAAUCCCCGGGCUCAACCUGGGAACUGCAUUUGUGACUGCAAGGCUAGAGUACGGCAGAGGGGGAUGGAAUUCCGCGUGUAGCAGUGAAAUGCGUAGAUAUGCGGAGGAACACCAAUGGCGAAGGCAAUCCCCUGGGCCUGUACUGACGCUCAUGCACGAAAGCGUGGGGAGCAAACAGG